rnacentral:misc_RNA from 1 species
AACGCACCUUGCGCCGCUCGGUUUUCCGAGGGGCACGUCUGUUUGAGUGUCACGUUAAUCUAUCACUUGCCUUCAUUGGUGGAGUGGACUUGGACUGUGCUGUCGCUAGUUCGACGGCUCGUCUCGAAAUGCAUUGUUGCCUGCAGAGUCUUGCGCGAAGCGAGGCCUGACGAAACGGUGUGAUAUUUAUAUCUGCGCUGAAGUAGUUGGUUUCACAACGCUGCACCAGGAGCACUUUGGGCUUAUAAUGACGAGGCGUGGAUUUAUUUCCGUGCCCCAGUUUUACUUUGCGUUUGACCUCAAAUCAGAUGGGAUUACCCGCUGAACUUAA